rnacentral:rRNA from 1 species
CGGACGGGUGAGUAACACGUGGAUAACCUACCUAUAAGACUGGGAUAACUUCGGGAAACCGGAGCUAAUACCGGAUAAUAUAUUGAACCGCAUGGUUCAAUAGUGAAAGACGGUUUUGCUGUCACUUAUGGAUGGAUCCGCGCCGCAUUAGCUAGUUGGUAAGGUAACGGCUUACCAAGGCAACGAUGCGUAGCCGACCUGAGAGGGUGAUCGGCCACACUGGAACUGAGACACGGUCCAG